rnacentral:rRNA from 1 species
CCCUUAGAUGUUCUGGGCCGCACGCGCGCUACACUGAUGCACUCAACGAGUCUCCACCUUGACCGAAAGGUCCGGGAAACCUUCGAACUUGCAUCGUGAUGGGGAUAGAUUAUUGCAACUAUUAAUCUUCAACGAGGAAUACCUAGUAAGCGCAUGUCAUCAGCGUGCGUUGAUUACGUCCCUGCCCUUUGUACACACCGCCCGUCGCACCUACCGAUUGAAUGGUCCGGUGAAAUCUCGGGACGGCGGCUUGGUCGCUUGCGUCCGACUGCUGAAACUUGAUUAAACCAUAUCAUUUAGAGGAAGGUGAAGUCGUAACA